rnacentral:rRNA from 1 species
UGGGGAAUAUUGCGCAAUGGGCGAAAGCCUGACGCAGCAACACCGCGUGAGGGAUGACGGCCUUCGGGUUGUAAACCUCUUUCAGCUCCGACGAAGCGAAAGUGACGGUAGGAGCAGAAGAAGCACCGGCUAACUACGUGCCAGCAGCCGCGGUAAUACGUAGGGUGCAAGCGUUGUCCGGAAUUAUUGGGCGUAAAGAGCUCGUAGGCGGUCCGUUGCGUCUGCCGUGAAAACCCGGAGCUCAACUCCGGGCCUGCGGUGGAUACGGGCGGACUAGAGUCCGGUAGGGGAGACUGGAAUUCCUGGUGUAGCGGUGGAAUGCGCAGAUAUCAGGAGGAACACCGGUGGCGAAGGCGGCUCACUGGCUCGAUACUGACGCUGAGGUGCGAAAGUGUGGGGAGCAAACAGGAUUAGAUACCCUGGUAGUCCACGCCGUAAACGAUGAGCACUCGGUGCCGCGGGUAUCGACCCCUGCGGUGCCUGAGCUAACGCAUUAAGUGCUCCGCCUGGGGAGUACGGUCGCAGG